CGAGCCGGCUCGACCAUGGCAGCCGCCGCCGCGGCGAAUCCGGCCCCUGCGCUCCCCGCCCGUCGCUGAUCGGCCGUUAACCAGCCCGCCCGCUGGUCCCCCCGCCGGUGCCGCAGCGGCCCAGGCUUCGGACAAGUUUCCGCCGCCGGAGGCGAAGGCAGGGAGGACGGACGUGGGGAGUCGGGCGCCCCCGGCCCACUCGGCGCUCCCGCCCGCGAUGUGGGGGCGCUUCCUGGCCCCGGAGGCCGGCGGCCGGGACAGCCCCGGCGGAGCCCGCAGCUUCCCGGCGGGCCCAGAUUAUUCUUCAUCAGCAUGGUUACCUGGUAAUGAAUCAUUGUGGCAGGCCACAACUGUUCCAUCUAACCAGCGAAAUAACCAUAUCAGGAGACAUAGUAUAGCUUCUGACAGUGGUGACACUGGCAUUGGAACUUCCUGUUCUGACAGUGUGGAAGAUCAUUCAACUUCAAGUGGCACAUUAUCUUUUAAGCCUAGUCGAUCGUUGGUUACUCUUCCUACUGCCCAUGUCAUGCCAUCUAACUCCAGCACUUCAGUUUCCAAACAUAGGGAAUCAUUGACAUCAGAUGGCUCAAAAUGGAGUAUAAGCCUUAUGCAAACAUUGGGAAACCACAGUAGGGGAGAGCAGGACUCUUCACUAGACAUGAAGGACUUCCGGCCUCUCCGGAAAUGGUCAUCUUUAUCCAAACUCACUGUCCCAGGUAACUGCAGCCAGGGUGGCAUUGUGCACCCAGAAGAGUCAAGGAGAGGUUUAGAAAAGACAGGGAGAGACAAGGCUUUAACAUCACAACUAAGGACAAUUGGACCUAGCUGUUUACAUGACAGUAUGGAGAUGCUUAAGCUAGAGGACAAGGAAAUAAAUAAAAAACGACCAUCAACUCUGGACAACAAAUAUAAAUUUGAGAGCUGCAGCAAAGAGGACUUUAGAGCUUCUUCCUCCAUUCCUAGGAGACAGGCCUUAGACAUGACAUAUAGUGCCUUACCUGAAAGCAAGCCCGUUAUGACAAGCUCAGAGGCUUUUGAACCGCCGAAAUAUUUAAUGCUUGGUCAACAAGCAGUAGGUGGAGUUCCCAUUCAGCCUUCUGUGAGGACGCAGAUGUGGCUUACUGAGCAAUUGCGGACAAACCCUUUGGAAGGUAGAACUACAGAGGACUCUCACAGUAUAGCUCCUUGGCAGCAGCAGCAGAUUGAAGGGUUUCGACAUGAAACUGAAACACCAGUGCAGGUUUUGACUGGAUCAUCUCGUCAAAGUUAUUCACCUCCUGGCUAUCAAGAUUUCAAUAAGUGGGAAUCAGUGCUGAAAAUAAAAGAAGGACUACUAAGGCAGAAAGAAAUUGUAAUUGAUCGGCAGAAGCAACAAAUUACCCACCUGCAUGAAAGAAUAAGGGAUAAUGAAUUACGAGCACAACAUGCCAUGUUAGGACAUUACGUAAAUUGUGAGGAUUCUUAUGUGGCUAGUUUGCAGCCACAAUAUGAGAAUACUUCCCUCCAGACUCCAUUUUCAGACCAGUCAACAUCCCAUUCCCAGCAAGAGGAGCUUGAGCAAAAGCUUGCAUCUACUGAGAAAGAGGUUUUACAGCUCAAUCAGUUUCUAAAGCAAAGGAUAAGCCAAUUUAGUGAAGAGAAGAAGAAACUGGAGGAAAAGCUUAAAACCAGAGAUAGAUACAUCAGUAGCCUGAAAAAGAAGUGCCAGAAGGAAUCUGAACAGAAUAAAGAAAAGCAGAGAAGAAUUGAGACCUUAGAAAAGUAUCUGGCUGAUCUUCCAACUCUUGAUGAUGUACAGUCAGAGUCUACAGCUGCAAGUUCUAGAAGAAAAAAACAAGAAUUUGCAAGAGACUUUGAUGGAAAUGGAAAAAAGGCUUGAAGAGUUCAAAAAACAGUGUCAAGAAAAUGAGGCACAGCUAAUAUGCCAGAAAAAGAAAGAAAAGGAGUUGGUAACUACAGUUCAGAGUUUGCAGCAAAAAGUAGAAAGAUGCCUUGAAGAUGGAAUUCGCCUUCCCAUGUUAGAUGCAAAACAGCUUCAGAAUGAAAAUGAUAACCUGAGAAAACAAAAUGAGAAUGCUAGUAAGAUAAUAGACCGCCAACAAGAUGAGAUUGACAGAAUGAUUUUAGAAAUUCAGUCUAUGCAAGGGAAGCUUUCUAAAGAAAAAUUGACUACUCAAAAGAUGAUGGAAGAGCUGGAAAAGAAAGACAGAAACCUUCAGAGAUUAAGAACAUUGCUUGAUAACCAAAGACAAACAGAAGAGACCUGCUCUUUAUUGGAUCAGGGCCAGGAAGCAGACCAAUCCAGGCAGCAGACCAUUCUUUCCAAAAGGCCACUAUUUGAUUUGAGUGUGAUUGAUCAGCUGUUCAAGGAAAUGUCCUAUUGUUUGUUGGACUUGAAGGCAUUGUGUAGUAUUCUUAAUCAGCGUGCUCAGGGCAAAGAGCCUAAUCUUUCAUUAUUACUGGGAAUCCGAUCAAUGAACUGUUCAGCUGAAGAGACUGAGAAUGACCACAGCCCAGAAACACUCACUAAAAAACUGUCAGAUGUAUGCCAGUUACGGAGGGACAUAGAUGAAUUACGGACCACGAUAUCAGACCGCUAUGCUCAGGACAUGGGAGACAACUGUGUAACCCAGUGACCAGUGUUGGUCCCACAGCAAUAACGACCCAUUGUUACAUGCUGCUGUGCUGGGUUCUUCACAUUUCUUUUAGGAGCCAUGAUAGAAACUUGCAAGUGACAUACGACUUGCACAUA